ensembl:lncRNA
UUUCUUUAUGAAUAGAAUUUAUUAAUGAAAAAUGUGACCUGGACAUGUUUUUUUGAGGUUCUCUGUUUUCCAUUUAAAUGUGACUUUCAGAAAUCAAACUGAAAAGUUUCCUCUUGAGAAAAAGCAACAGGUUCGGCAGCAUUUAAUGCACCGUUUGACAGAAAAGAGUUUAAUUUCACGCCCUCAUGUUUCCUCUGAGGUGCUGCGCUCUGAUUGGCUGUCCUGGUUUGGGCCAGGUUCAUGCCGCCCAUCAGUUCUUUUAUUUUCUGUCCGUGUGUUUCCAUGCACCACAGAUUGAGAUAAUAAAUAAUGGAUGAUAUUUAAAUGAGGAAUGAUGUGGGCGAUCUUUACUCUGGAGGGGGAUCUGUCUCUGGUUUAUUGCUCAGUAUCUGAGUUCAGAUGUUUUGUUUGUUUUAAUGCAUCUGUCCGUCUGUGUUGCGCUGGAUUGUGAUUGACACUGUGAGAUUUGCUGGAGAGUGAAUCAGAAGGUGCUGUAUGCUGUUAUGAGAGACAAACUUCAAUUAUAACUCAAUUCUGUUGAACUGUAUGUCUGCACUCCUUUUCAGACUUACAGUGCAUUCAGGCUAACAUUUUUUACCUAACAUGUGUUCCCUGGGAAUCGAACCCACAACCUUUUGCACUGCUGACACAAUGCUUUACCACUGAGCCACCACAUAACAUAAUAGUUAUUAAUGCAUAAUAGUAUAUAAUAUAUAUAACUAUUAAUAUAACAUAAUAGUUAUUAAUGCUUCACGUGCUUGACUUUUAACAGCAGUGGCAGAGUUUCACGGAAAGGUCAAAUAUCAAAUUAUGGGCCGUAUUCAGGACUAUAUUUAAUUUGACUUUGGAAAGCCUGUGAGCCAAAAAGGUUGAACUCUAAGGUUAUAUGUAUUUCCAAAAAAAGUCUUAAUAUUUCAUCAUGUUUGACAUUUCUUUCCCUUAAGCUUAAUUUUCACAUCCUUCAAAUUAAACAUGGUGUCUCUCCUGAAUAAUGUCUAGAAUACAGAAUAAAAUAUGAUGAACUAGAAAUAUGUGGGCAGAAAAUAGUUUGAUCCACUCUGAAGCAAGAUAAAAAAAUAAAUUAAAAAAAAGUUUGGAAUAUUUUCAUGUUUUUUAAUGUUUUGAAAAAAGGCUGCAUUUAUUUGCAUUAAAAUACAGUAAAAUUAUUAAGUAUUAUUAGAAUGUAAAAAUGAUUAUUAGAAUGAUUUCUGAAG